rnacentral:snoRNA from 1 species
AGUCUACUAAGAGCUAUCCCAAUAAUAAGAGCCUUUAUCAUUCUACUGGGGCAAGUGAAAUACCUUUUAAACCUCAGGCAAACAUAGUGUUUGUCCUGUAACAUGAUAGAGGAAACAAAG